UACGAAGGGGGCUAGCGUUGCUCGGAAUCACUGGGCGUAAAGGGUGCGUAGGCGGGUCUUUUAAGUCAGGGGUGAAAUCCCGGGGCUCAACCUCGGAACUGCCUUUGAUACAGCACGUCUCGAGUCCGGAAGAGGUGGGUGGAAUUCCUAGUGUAGAGGUGAAAUUCGUAGAUAUUAGGAAGAACACCGGUGGCGAAGGCGGCCCACUGGUCCGGUACUGACGCUGAGGUGCGAAAGCGUGGGGAGCAAACAGG
rnacentral:rRNA from 1 species